rnacentral:lncRNA from 1 species
AUUCAGGCCUGAGUUUGACUCUUUAAGAGUCUGCUCUUAUUGGUUUGAAUCUGAGUGAGAGGUUAGGGGAGUGCCAGUCUAUGCCAUGACUGUAUAUGACCACCUCCUGCUGAGGUUUCUCUCUCACUUUACACCUACUCCUAGCUCUUAAGUUCUACCCCCAUAUGGUAAGCCAUGCUUAGGGACCCUGGAGGUCCUUCUGAACUUGGAUCCCUAAGGGCUAAUAAUUCCACAUAUUGCACUACUCUCAAACUCUAGAGUGUAAGCAUUGUCUGGGCGCUUGAAGACCC